CGCCCUUAGAGUUUGAUCCUGGCUCAGGAUGAACGCUAGCUACAGGCUUAACACAUGCAAGUCGAGGGGAAACGACAUCGAAAGCUUGCUUUUGAUGGGCGUCGACCGGCGCACGGGUGAGUAACGCGUAUCCAACCUGCCCACCACUUGGGGAUAACCUUGCGAAAGUAAGACUAAUACCCAAUGAUAUCUCUAGAAGGCAUCUGAAAGGGAUUAAAGAUUUAUCGGUGAUGGAUGGGGAUGCGUCUGAUUAGCUUGUUGGCGGGGUAACGGCCCACCAAGGCUACGAUCAGUAGGGGUUCUGAGAGGAAGGUCCCCCACAUUGGAACUGAGACACGGUCCAAACUCCUACGGGAGGCAGCAGUGAGGAAUAUUGGUCAAUGGGCGAGAGCCUGAACCAGCCAAGUAGCGUGCAGGAUGACGGCCCUAUGGGUUGUAAACUGCUUUUAUAAGGGAAUAAAGUGAGUCUCGUGAGACUUUUUGCAUGUACCUUAUGAAUAAGGACCGGCUAAUUCCGUGCCAGCAGCCGCGGUAAUACGGAAGGUCCGGGCGUUAUCCGGAUUUAUUGGGUUUAAAAGGAGCGUAGGCCGGAGAUUAAGCGUGUUGUGAAAUGUAGACGCUCAACGUCUGCACUGCAGCGCGAACUGGUUUCCUUGAGUACGCACAAAGUGGGCGGAAUUCGUGGUGUAGCGGUGAAAUGCUUAGAUAUCACGAAGAACUCCGAUUGCGAAGGCAGCUCACUGGAGCGCAACUGACGCUGAAGCUCGAAAGUGCGGGUAUCGAACAGGAUUAGAUACCCUGGUAGUCCGCACGGUAAACGAUGGAUGCCCGCUGUUGGUCUGAAUAGGUCAGCGGCCAAGCGAAAGCAUUAAGCAUCCCACCUGGGGAGUACGCCGGCAACGGUGAAACUCAAAUGAAUUG
rnacentral:rRNA from 1 species